AGAGCGAACGCUGGCGGCGUGCUUAACACAUGCAAGUCGAGUGCGCGCCUGUAGCAAUACAGGUGGCGCACGGCGCACGGGUGCGUAACACGUGGGUAAUCUGCCCUUCGAUGGGGAAUAACUCGCCGAAAGGCGAGCUAAUUCCGCAUAACAUUCCGAGAACUUCGGUUUUCGGAUUCAAAGGCGUAAGUCGUCGGAGGAGGAGCCCGCGCACGAUUAGCUAGUUGGUGAGGUAAUGGCUCACCAAGGCUAUGAUCGUUAG
rnacentral:rRNA from 1 species